rnacentral:rRNA from 1 species
UACGUAGGGUGCGAGCGUUAAUCGGAAUUACUGGGCGUAAAGCGUGCGCAGGCGGUGAUGUAAGACCGAUGUGAAAUCCCCGGGCUUAACCUGGGAACUGCAUUGGUGACUGCAUCGCUCGAGUAUGGCAGAGGGGGGUAGAAUUCCACGUGUAGCAGUGAAAUGCGUAGAGAUGUGGAGGAAUACCGAUGGCGAAGGCAGCCCCCUGGGUCAAUACUGACGCUCAUGCACGAAAGCGUGGGGAGCGAACAGG